GUUUGCAGAGAUCUGCGGUUUCUUUCCGGCGGCAAGGCUCAUCGGGAUUGGUCUGGGACGACCGGUUUUUGUCCGGCGAGUUGAAGCAAACGGCCACAGCUUCGGAGAAAGAAUCAGAGGAGAAUCAGGAGGCGAAAUCGACGGCCGUGGAGCCGAUCAGUAUCACGAUCGAGAGGAGCCGAUCCAACGGUGGCCGUGGGUACCGGACUGGGAAAGUGUCGCCGGCGAUUGAGCCACCAUCGCCGAAGGUCUCGGCCUGUGGCUUCUGCAGCGCGUUUGGGAAACCGGCGAAGAAGAGUCGCCGGACGAAAAAUGGUAAGCGUAGAUCGCGGUAAGGUUCGGAAUUUUCUCCGGCGAUCGGCGGCGGCGAUUUUGCCGGUCUGUGUUAGAAGAGUGAG
rnacentral:misc_RNA from 1 species